GUCAAGAGUGGUGGCACAUACCUGUAAUCUCUGCUAUUGGGGAGGCUGAGGCUGGUGGGUCACCUGAGUUUGGAGGUCCUGGGCUGCAGCCAGACUGAAACUGAUCAGGUAUCUACACUGUGUGGCAUGAGUAUGGUGAGCCCCUGAAAACGGGGGGCCACUAGACUGCAUAAUGAGGGGCAAACCGGCCCAGAUCAGAAACUAAGUAGGUCAAAGCUUCCAUACAAAUCAAUAGUGGGAUUGGCCCUCAAGUAGCUGCUGCACUUCCAGCCUGGGUGAGAGAGAGAGAGAG
rnacentral:SRP_RNA from 1 species